CUGUGGGGCGGCUGUGGAACUGGGUUGCUGUACUCACAAGUGGAUGAGCUCAGUGGCUGAGCGUGCCGUGGAGAGGAGGAGCCUGGUUAGAACACGCAGCACACUGGGGUGGUGACGAGAAGGACUCACCCGCCUUCUCCGAUCCUGUCUGCUCUCUGCUGCCGGCUGCCAUGACACGAGCAGGAUUCUGUCACCAGAUUUUUUAUCACGCAGUUUCUCCUUUGGAGCCAGUACAAGAAAAACCAUAUUCUUGAGGAGUAAUUUGCAGCGUCUUGGUGAGCCCAACUAUCAUAAAUCUCAGCACUUUUCUUAGGCCAUCGCAGGGCAGUCCUACCCAUGUUACGUCUAAGCAUCACUGGCUAUAGGAGAAGAUGCCUGGGCUUGCCUACCUGUAACGUAAGAAGCUGUCAAUGGGGACGUACUGAAUAUUCAGAGAGGAGAAACUGCUCUCUGACUAAAGACAGAUCACUUCUUUCUCCCAACGCAGUCAUAUGCAGAAUCCGGG